rnacentral:rRNA from 1 species
AAUAUUGGACAAUGGGGGGAACCCUGAUCCAGCCAGGCCGCGUGUGUGAAGAAGGUCUUCGGUUAGUAAAGUACUUUAAGUUGGGAGGAAGAGUUGUAGGCUAAUACCUUGCAAUUUUGACUUUACCAACAGAAUAAGCACCGGCUAACUUGCUGCCAGCAGCCGCGGUAAUACGAAGGGUGCAAGCGUUAAUCGGAAUUACUGGGCGUAAAGCGCGCGUAGGUGGUUCGUUAAGUUGGAAGUGAAAGCCCCGGGCUUAACCUGGGAAUUGCUUUCAAAACUGACGAGCUAGAGUACGGUAGAGGGUAGUGGAAUUUCCUGUGUAGCGGUGAAAUGCGUAGAUAUAGGAAGGAACAUCAGUGGCGAAGGCGACUACCUGGACUGAUGCUGACACUGAGGUGCGAAGGCGUGGGGAGCAAACAGG